AAAUGAAACACUGGAACAAGCAAACAUCCGCCUAGACAAAGAGGGCACAGAGGGCUAGAGAGACAAAAAGCACUCACAAAACACACAGAUUCAGACACAAAAACAGACAAAGACUGACACUGGAACUAAUAAACACCUGCCGCAGAUAUCCAGGGACAGAGAUUGAGAGAGACAAAAACACAUAAAAACACACAGAUUCAGAUAUAGAAACAGAAAAUAACAGACACUAUGACAAGCAAAAACCCAUUCAGACAUGCAGGCACAGGUAGUGAGAGAGAAAAAAAAACAAACACAAAGAUUCAGACAUACAAACAGACAAAGACAGACACUUUUACAAGUAAAACCCACUCAGACAGACAUGCACAGAGAGUGAGAGAAACAAAAAAGCACGCAAAAACACAGACUCAGACAUACAAGCAAAGAGAGACAAUGGGACAUAUAAACACCCACCCAAACACACGGGCCUAGAGAAUAAGAGAGACAAAGCCACAUAUAAACUCAAAGAUUCAGAAAUACAAAUAGACAAAGACACACACUUGGACAGGCACACACCGCCCGU
rnacentral:rRNA from 1 species